AAAUGACCUGAUCUCCUUGGAUCUUUAAAACCCCAUUUUACAGAGGUUGAUAUUGCAGCAACACGUAUUCGUUUUAGUUUUGUGCACGUCGCUGUCCGCUCCUUCUGACGCACCAAUUCAGCGCAUUUUCCAGCAGAGAUCACUGUGAGAUUGCAGGUUGGGAGGAUGACAGCUCGAGUGUAUUUCUUGUUGAUUGCUGUUUUAUCGUGUCUGUUCGGAUACUUGAGCAUAACUCCUGCUAUUCCAAGAUGAACCACAGUGGACGGUUUAUGUCCGGCGAGGCUGAUGGUCGUGCCAUCCCGUCGAGGAUGUUCUUCUGAUAAAGACUGCCCUGGAGGACACAAAUACUGUCGAUUUCACUGUGGGCCUGUUUGCGUGCUGCCUGUUUUCAUGAAGCCGGGUCAAUGUCCCAUACCGGAGAUGAUUCCACUGUGUGCUGAAAGCGGUUUCCAUGAUGGCCAGUGUCCUGCCACACAGAAAUGUUCCCCAACCACCGGUGGCUUUACAUGCAGUGAACCACAGGGCCAGGGAAGCGGCCAGGGAAG